ensembl:snRNA U2 U2 spliceosomal RNA
AUCCCUUGCUCGGCCUUUUGGCUAAAGUCAAGUGUAGUAUCUGUUCUUAUUAGUUUAAUAUCUGAUAUGUUCUUGAUUUGAGGACGCUGUAUUAAACGCAUGUUUGGAACUGGGAGAUGGGAAUAUAGAGCUUGCUCUAUCCACUCUGCGCGUCGAUCGGGUAUGGCAGUAGUUCCAGAAACGGUGUGCUUACU